UAUAUAUAUACUGAAGAGAAGAUAUUUAAAGACAUACCUUUUUUGGGUCAUUGCUACAUUUUUUGCUAACUCUGUAUAAUCUUUGUUUCAGAAAAUAAUAAUGGCAGACCUCCAGCUUACUCAAAAAAUGAAGAGGCAUCUAGUUAUUUUGGUUAUAAAGGCUGAGCAUAGCAAUUUGA